CGCCAGAUAGCUCAGUUGGUAGAGCACUUGACUGGAGAUUCAGGGAGCAGGGUUCAAAUCCUGGUAUAGUGU
rnacentral:tRNA from 1 species